AUUGAACGCUGGCGGCAGGCCUAACACAUGCAAGUCGAGCGGAUCGCCCGGCGCGUGGGUAAUGCCUGGGCCCCUGCCUGGUAGUGGGGGUUGGCGUCCGGGCACGGGCUCUAAUACCGCAUACUCUCAGACGACCGUCGGUCGGAGUAGCUAGUUGGUGGGGUAAUGGCGUACCAAGGCGACGACCCGUACCUGAUCUGAGAGGAGGAUCAGUCACACGUGAACGGAGCCACGGGCCAGACGCCUACGGGAGGCAGCAGGUGGGAAUAUUGGACAAUGGGCGAAAGCCUGAUCCAGCCAUGCCGCGUGUGUGAAGAAGGACUUCGGAUUGUAAAGCACUUGCAGGUGGGAGGCGUUACCGACAGAAUAAGCACCGGCUAACUUCGUGCCAGCAGCCGCGGUAAUUC
rnacentral:rRNA from 1 species